ensembl:lncRNA
GACUCGGCGAGGUCACUUCGCUGUUCGCUGUCCGCUUACGAUCCAGUGACUUCUUCCCUUUUUAGAGAUAUUGCCAUUAACUGAUUCGUCUGAGAGAUUUUUUUUUUUUUUUUUUUAAUGCUUUAGUCUGCAAUUUGUAAAUGUAUUGUGUGGCAAAUAACUAUGCAGUGUAUUACGAGCCCUGAACCAUAUGUCUUAACUCGUCUGAUUAGGUUAAAAUGCCUUUCUUUUCUACUAGUUAACACAGUCGCCAUUUUAGUUGGAUAACGGGAGCUUAAAACUUACAUGUACUAACUAAGCUACACAAAUGUAAGGACGCAUGUGUACGACAUGUGAUGUACUGGGUCACCAGCUUCCUGUUUGUGUUUGUGUACAGCAAACACUGGCUAGGUAGCUCUGGGCUUCAUUUUUGCUGCUUUUAAAAGAUUACCCAAAAUCUGGACCAAGUGGUUUCAGGGUUUGAACUAUCAACAUUUUAUCUAAUAGAUCAUUUUCAUGCUUAAAACAGUUACGUUUACCAAGUGGAGAAAGCUGAAUUGUUCAUUUUGAAGUUCAAAUUAUGCUUUAUAUGAUGUGAUAUUCCAGUUUUUGAAUCCUUCAUACUCCAUUAUGUACAAUUGUUCACUACAGGUCAACGGCAGAAAUACACUGCAGAUUGCCAGGCGCUUGCUGAGUAUCGUGAGAAGCAGUUUUUGUGUGAUAGUGUAAUAUGUGCAGGUAAAGUGAUCCCUUUACCUGCCACUGCAUCUAGGUUGAGGCUUGCGCAGAACUACUUUAGUUUUAGCUUUUUUUAAAUCAUAAUUGGCCAAUAUAUAUAUAUAGUUUGGGAAAGUAGACUAAUUUGCAUCAAGAUUGACUGACAGCUUUUUUUAAAGAAUAACAGCUGGCUUUACUCAAUGUUUCGGACCGUCAGCAAAUUAAUUUGUGUUGAUAAAACGAUAUGUUUUUUUUGUGAAACAAUAUCAAAGGAAGGUAAGAAAUAUUAGACCUGCAAAUUACUUUUAAAGUUGGACAAAUCUGACAACCUUGCAAUAAAUAUUUACGGUGAAGGAAGCCUCCACGUAACAAACGUAACUUGUGAAUUUAGAUCCAACAUGCAUUAAGUUAUUCACCAUUCGUAUUCUCCAGAUGAUCUUGGGAAUGUGGUUCAGUGGGUUAUUAUAAAAUUGUGUUAAAGGUAAAACUUGUUCAAGUUAUUAUUUUCCAGCCUGUUGGCCCAAAUAGCUUAAUUAUUUAAACGCAAUCAGUAAAGCAAACGUGGCCUCUUCUUAUUAAGGUACAAUUUGUGAUUGUGGUUUGUUUUGUUUUAGAGACGAGUGUCAGUGAGUUUGAAGGGUAUUAAGUGAGAAUGUGUUCUAAAACUUUCUCAUUGAAAAUUGUGAAAGCGAAGGAAGUUGUUGGUAAGUGGGGUGGCCAGUUCUUGUUAAGUCACACGCUUUGUUUUAAAUCACUUUUGUAAUGAUCCUUGAACUCAUUGAAUUGCCUUAUCCUCUCUCUGAUUGACUCACUGUAGUUCUUGCCGGCAAAUAGGAAACCCAACUUUAUUUUGCCCUUUGCGUCUGACUUCCUCUGAGGUCAGACUCAUAUUUCAUGGAUGUUGCAGUAGGUUAUCGAUGCUGGUGGUGAUGGAGUCUUUGAUAUCAGAAUAAUGCCUUGAUGCCUUUUUGUUGUCUUCCAUUCAGAAGACUCACAAUGUAUAUAAUAAAGUGUAUUUAUAAAUUAACUAAAUAAAAGAUUGAUACUUA